CCUUUUCCCUCAGAUUUCACCCUAUCCUUGACCCCUCACUUCUGUUCUCAGAGCUUAAAAGUCUUACGGAUGAAGGAAAAAGGAGCUGUUUGGAGAAAAUUCCUUAGAGAAGAAAGAGCAAAAAUAAGAGAUUUUUUUCAGAAGAGCAAGUGAAGGCAAGAUUUAAUUCCUUGUAAAACGAAAUCAUCCAAUAUUUCACGUCUAUCUAACUGAAAUUUCACUAA